rnacentral:rRNA from 1 species
CCCCUAGAUGUUCUGGGCCGCACGCGCGCUACACUGAACAGUUCAACAAGUCUUAACCUUGGCCGAUAGGUCUGGGUAAUCUUUGAACGCCAGUCGUGCUGGGGAUAGAUUCUUGCAAUUAUUAAUCUUCAACGAGGAAUUCCUAGUAAACGCAAGUCAUCAGCUUGCAUUGAUUACGUCCCUGCCCUUUGUACACACCGCCCGUCGCACCUACCGAUUGAAUGGUCCGGUGAAAUCCUCGGAUCGAGCCGUGGGGCAACUCCGGUUCGAGAAGUUGAUUAAACCUUACCAUUUAGAGGAAGGUGAAGUCGUAACA